UGUAUCCAUACCCACUCGCUCUGCUCUCUUGCGAUUAUCGUCUAGUGAUUUUUACCCCUGGCCUUUCCUUACUUUGCCGAGCAGGAGGGCGUAACAAGGUUCCGUAGGUGAACCUGCGGAAGGAUCAUUG
rnacentral:rRNA from 1 species